UACGAAGGGGGCGAGCGUUGUCCGGAGUACUGGGCGUAAAGCGCACGCAGGCGGUCUGUGAAGUUUGGAGUGACAGUUGGUGGCUCAACCACCAAAGUGCUUUGAAAACUGAUAGACUUGAGGGCUUCAGAGGGACACGGAAUUCCGGGUGGAGUGGUGAAAUGCGUAGAGAUCCGGAGGAACACCAAAGGCGAAGGCAGUGUCCUGGGGAGUACCUG
rnacentral:rRNA from 1 species